UACGUAGGGGGCAAGCGUUGUCCGGAAUUAUUGGGCGUAAAGCGCGCGCAGGCGGUCAUUUAAGUCUGGUGUUUAAUCCUGGGGCUCAACCCCAAGUUCGCAUCGGAAACUGGACGACUUGAGUGUAAGAGAGGAAAGUGGAAUUCCACGUGUAGCGGUGAAAUGCGUAGAGAUGUGGAGGAAUACCGAUGGCGAAGGCAGCCCCCUGGGAUAACACUGACGCUCAUAGCACGAA
rnacentral:rRNA from 1 species